rnacentral:rRNA from 1 species
ACGUAGGGGGCGAGCGUUGUCCGGAAUUACUGGGCGUAAAGGGUGCGUAGGCGGCAGCCUAAGUUACAUGUGAAAUCCCCGGGCUUAACCUGGGUGGUGCAUGUAAUACUGGGCAGCUAGAGUACAGGAGAGGGAAGCGGAAUUCCUAGUGUAGCGGUGAAAUGCGUAGAUAUUAGGAGGAACACCAGUGGCGAAGGCGGCUUUCUGGACUGACACUGACGCUGAGGCACGAAAGCGUGGGGAGCAAACAG